GACCACGUAGCUCAGUUGGCAGAGCAUUGGGCUAGUAUUCCAAAGGUCGUAGGUUCGAAUCCCACCGUGGCCA